AUUGAACGCUGGCGGCAUGCUUUACACAUGCAAGUCGAACGGUAACAGGCCGCCAGGUGCUGACGAGUGGCGAACGGGUGAGUAAUGCAUCGGAACGUGCCCAGUCGUGGGGGAUAACUACUCGAAAGAGUAGCUAAUACCGCAUACGAUCUAUGGAUGAAAGCGGGGGACCGUAAGGCCUCGCGCGAUUGGAGCGGCCGAUGUCAGAUUAGGUAGUUGGUGGGGUAAAGGCUCACCAAGCCAACGAUCUGUAGCUGGUCUGAGAGGACCACCAGCCACACUGGGACUGAGACACGGCCCAGACUCCUACGGGAGGCAGCAGUGGGGAAUUUUGGACAAUGGGCGCAAGCCUGAUCCAGCAAUGCCGCGUGCAGGAAGAAGGCCUUCGGGUUGUAAACUGCUUUUGUACGGAACGAAACGGCUCUGGUUAAUACCCGGGGCUAAUGACGGUACCGUAAGAAUAAGCACCGGCUAACUACGUG
rnacentral:rRNA from 1 species